GUUCUACAAGCAAACAGGCCGAGAAUUUUUCCACUUCCCGCACGGACAUCUGAGGUUAUCUAGUAUUCAAUUUCUAAUAUCUAACGGGCGUGGCGACAGGAUCCGGGUUGGAGUCUCCAUUCCCCAAAUUCCACUGCUAAAAAAUAAUAUCUGGGGGGGCGCGGUUCACUCUUUUCAAGCAACUCUAGGGUUUAAGCUCUUUUUCUCUGGAGCUUCCUUACACAGAUACUGUUUCCCAAUCUUCCAGAUUAAAGGAAGAAAAUUUUCUCUGUGUAAUAUUUGAAGCGAGAAUGCAGGCUUGCACUGGAGCUGCAGUGAUGGGUUCUUUACAGCAGCCCCUUUGGACCAAGGGAUCAUCCUUCCCUCCAAAAAGGUUCAGUGUUACUGGGUUUCCACAUCAGAUUGAGGUCAAUUCGUUGACGCCUUGUAGAUAUUUUAGUAUUAAAGGUAGCUUGGUCACUGGGAGGCCACCCUCUUCUGUGUCUGUCCCUGUGCCUGAAAGUGCAGGUGAAAGGAGCAGCUUUAUAGACUAUGGCCUCAGUGAAGCGGAUCCUGAGGUGUGUGAAAUUAUUAACAAGGAAAAGAAUAGGCAGUUCAAAAGCCUUGAGCUUAUUGCCUCUGAGAAUUUUACAUCCCGAGCGGUGAUGGAAGCAGUUGGCUCAUGCCUCACAAACAAGUAUUCUGAAGGAUUGCCUGGUAAAAGAUACUACGGUGGAAAUGAGUAUAUUGAUGAGCUUGAGAUCCUUUGUCAAGAAAGGGCUUUGGCUGCAUUCCACUUAGAUGGCAAGAAGUGGGGUGUUAAUGUCCAACCAUUGUCUGGUUCUCCUGCUAAUUUUGAGGUUUAUACUGCACUUCUUAAACCACAUGACAGGAUAAUGGGUUUGGACUUACCUCAUGGAGGACAUUUGUCUCACGGGUUUAUGACUCCUAAAAGACGAGUAUCUGGCACAUCAAUUUAUUUUGAGUCUAUGCCAUAUCGACUUGAUGAAUCUACAGGCCUGGUUGAUUAUGAUAUGCUUGAGAAAACAGCUACCCUCUUCCGACCCAAGCUAAUUAUUGCUGGUGCUAGUGCAUAUCCUCGAGAUUUUGAUUAUCCUCGCAUGAGGAAGAUUGCUGAUGCUGUUGGUGCUUUUCUCAUGAUGGACAUGGCUCACAUAAGUGGACUUGUUGCUGCUUCUGUAGUUACUGACCCCUUUGAGUAUUGUGAUAUUGUGACAACAACUACGCACAAGUCUCUACGGGGUCCUCGAGGUGGCAUGAUCUUCUUCAGAAAGGAUCCUGUUCUUGGAGUUGAUUUGGAAUCUGCCAUCAAUAAUGCUGUUUUCCCAGGCCUACAGGGUGGUCCUCAUAACCACACAAUUGGGGGACUAGCAGUUUGCUUGAAGCAUGCACAAUCCCCGGAAUUUAAAAGUUAUCAGAAGCAGGUCAUCUCCAACUGUAGAGCUCUUGCAAACCGAUUGGUUGAACUUGGAUAUAGACUGGUUUCUGGUGGAAGUGAUAAUCACCUGGUUCUUGUAGACUUGAGGCCACUGGGCAUUGAUGGAGCUCGGGUGGAAAAAAUUCUUGACUUGGCAUCCAUUACCCUCAACAAGAACUCAGUGCCUGGAGAUAAGAGUGCCCUAGUUCCGGGUGGCAUUCGCAUUGGAUCACCUGCUAUGACUACCAGAGGAUUCACAGAGAAAGAAUUUGUAGCGACUGCUGAUUAUAUUCAUGAGGGUGUGCAAAUAACAAUUGAAGCUAAGAAAUCAGUGUCAGGAUCAAAGCUUCAAGAUUUCUUGAAAUUUGUUGCAUCCCCUGAUUUCUCUUUGAAGGAUAGAGUGUCAGAUCUCCAGACAAGAGUUGAAGCUCUUACAACUCAAUUCCCAAUACCUGGUGUAUGAGCAUCAUGGCCGGACUAUAUAGGUUGCUGUUAUGAUGCAUGCAGUGUGAUUUACUAUGUUAUGUUUAAGCUUAUAGUCAACAAAUUCUGCCGAUAACACAAAGGAGAGUAAACAGCAUUCUAGUCGCACCACUUGUUUAAGGAAUGAUGGGAAAGGAGUUACAAAAAUAAAGUUUUUUCGCUAGCUGUGACCCUGCGGACCUGUCUCAUGGUACGAGUACAGAAAAGGUCAUGAGAGGCAGUUUUUACUAGGCCACAACCCUUCAGCAUGCACCUUUCAGGGCAAGAAAGACCUGUAUUUAGGGUCAGAAUAUUCCUUUCCAGUCUCGCAAUGCAAAUUAAACCUGUUCUUGCUGCAAAUUGUUCAGUCUCAAAUGUGUGAUAUUAGGCUGGACAUAGUAUACAGCAAAUAUCCUAAGAUAUAAUCUGAUUCCCUGAUUGAGAAUGGUAUCAAUGAUCAUGAAAAUAGAUUUCAAGAUAAA